ensembl:lncRNA
AUCACUUGUAGAAGAACCUUCUGGUAUUAGCAUGGGAAAUAGCUGCUUCUCUGGCUGGGUCUUUAGCAGAGCUGAGGGCUCCUUGUAGUUACCCCCUGACACCUUCCUUUCUUUUGUGUAUUUCCAGCUGUCUGGGAGGCAGAACAGCUCCAAGACUGUGUCCAGUGGGAACAUUCAGCAGGACCACUGGCCUUGGGGCUAUCACAGGUUGCCAGGUUUGCCCCACAGGAAAAAUCAGCUCAGAGACUGGAAGCCAUUGCCGGGCCUGCCCAGAUGGCUAUGCCUGUGACCCCCAUAUAGGGGUCCUGGGAAGCUGUAGGCCUGGGGAGUACUCACCUGAAGGGGAGCUUUGGUGUAAGCCAUGUCCCAUUGGCCAUUUCUGCCCUGAUGGAAGGGUCAGAGAGCAUUGCCCAUCAGGACAGGAGCCAAGUCCUCAGCUCACAAGAUGUGUCCUCUGCCCUCUUGGUUAUUUCUCCCUGGGAGGAGACCCAGGCUGCCAGCCUUGUCCUGAAGGACAUUAUUGUCCCUUCCUUGGGACAACCCAGCCUCUCCUGUGCCCACCAAACUCUUCUGCUGGUACCCUUGGACAAACCAAGUGCCAGGACUGUGGAGAGGGAGGCCAAUGUGUGGAUGGUGAACACCAAGAGGAAGCACUCAUUCAGUCUACAGAGCCACCUCCAUCAGAAAAAGAAGAGCAUAAGUGUCCACUUUGCCCAUCAGGUCACUUCUCCCCUGAUGGCAUCACCAUCCCUCCAUGCCCAUCUGGAAGCUUUGAAGCCCAGAAAGAGAGCCCACAGCUCAUCAAAGAGACCAUCUCUUGCUCAACAGGUAUGUGUGUCCCAUUGGAUCCUCCAGUCCGUACUCCCUCAACAAUGCCUGCCCCCCAGGAACCUUCAGUGAUCGUACUGACCUCUUUGACCUGUCUCAGUGUGAGUCUUGUCCAGCUGGACUGGUUUGUACUGGGGGAACUGGAGGUGUGGAUAGACCUCCUGGGCAAUGCCCCACUGGCCACUACUGCCCUGUUGGCACAAAGCACCCAACCCAGUUCCAGUGUCCAGCAGGUACCUGGAGCAACCAGACAGGUCUAGCCUCAGAAAAAGAAUGUGUGCUGUGCCCAGCUGGCUGGUUCUGUGUCCUUGGAACUCACACCCCUUCAGGACGGUGCCUUGCAGGACAUUACUGCCCUCCAGGUUCACAGUGGGGUACCCAAUUUCCAUGCCCACCUGGUACCUACAGUUUCCAAAUGGGCAAUGACCAACCAGCUAAUUGUACCAGCUGCCCCCCUGGAGCCUACUGUCCCAGUGGAUCCCCCAAACCUGUGUUCUGCCCAGGGGGAACAUUCCAAGUACAUCCAGGUGCUCAGAUGAUUGGUGACUGUGCCCUUUGCCCUGAAGGGCAUCACUGCCCUGAGCUUGGAACAAUGACUCCCGUACCAUGUGCUGCUGGCAGCUACUCUAGCUCUGGUCAGCUACUAUGCCAGGAAUGCCCAGAAGGAAAAUUCUGCAAUGGCACUGGGGUAGCUGAACCUUCAGUAUGUCCUCCUGGGCAUUACUGCCCAGCAAAGAGUAUACUUCCCAACCCAUGUCCAGUGGGCACUUUCCGAGAGGCUCCAGGUGCAACUAGCAUGGACUUGUGCCAGCCAUGCUGCCCAGGCAGGUUCUGUAGCAAAACUGGCCUGAAAGAACCAGAAGGUCUAUGUGAUCCUGGGUACUACUGUGGACCUGGGUCCAAUACUUCCUCUCCGGUGGGGUUUUCCUUUGGUGACUUCUGCCCAAAGGGCCAUUACUGCCCUGCUGGCACUGCAGACACAGAACAGACACCCUGCCCAGCUGGCACCUGGAAUAAGAAGAAAGGGGCACAGGAUGCUAGCUGGUGUCUAUCCUGCCCUCCUGGCUUUUUCUGUGAUGUCGCCGGCAGUGCUGCCCCAGGAGGUCCAUGUGCCCCAGGAUUCUUCUGCACGGGAGGGACACAGACCCCAAGGCCAGUUGGUGGAGCAGGUGGAGAUCUUUGUCCCACUGGUCAUGCCUGCCCCGAAGGCUCCUCCUUUGCCAUCCCCUGCCUGGAUGGGCAGCAUAGCAAUGGAACAGGCCAGAAGAGCUGCCUCCCCUGCCCAGCAGGGUCUUACUGCCCAGGUGGUCAAAAGAAGCUCUGUCCCCCUGGCUCUUAUUGUCCCAAGGGGACCGGCAGUUCCCCCUGUCCCUGUCCCCCAGGGACAUUUGGUCCAUUUCUUGGGUUGAGCCAGAUGCAGGACUGCCAGCCGUGUCCAGCAGGAAUGUUCUGUGAAGAGCAGGGGCUCAAAUCACCCAGUGGUCCUUGCCAGUCGGGCUUCUUCUGCUCCGGAGGUAUCAGUAAAGCCAUCUCCAAGAAAAAGGAAGAAGGAUCAGAACAACCAAUAUAUGUGGCACCACUAAAGAGCAAACCUAUUCCAUCCUUCUCACCCUGACCCUCACCAUUCCACCACUCUCCUUCUGUCCCUCUGUCCUUAUGAGAUAAUGUAGGUGUACCCUCUUAGUAAAAGAGCUUGGACAGUUUUAUUCUCUCUGUCUAUAUUGGCUUUCUGUGGGGGAGUACCUUUCCUGCCACUAACCACAGUGAGAAAAAGUUUCUAUUGGGAAUAGGAGACCUUGACCUAUUAUUUCAAUUAAAUCUCCAACUCCUAGGAAGACUGUCUCCCUAGAUCCUUAGAUCUAAAGUUUGCCUUAUGAUUGGCAAAGGAGGAGGGCGGGGUCCUGCCAGGAAAGGGAC